UCCUUUGAGGUUGGCUCUUGUCUCCCAGGACGGAGCAGGUUUCAGGUCAGCUCAUUUGCUCACCUUCUUUCUAAUUCCUAUUGGCCCUGGUGCUGCUGCCAGCCCCUUUCCUGCAGGAUAUCCCAAAGCUUCCUCUUGAAGGAGGAGCGGCCCCUUCAAAACUGAGCUGGGUUCCCUGAGCUGUGCCCUGCUGCCAAGCCAGCCCCACACCGCUGCCCCUGCGUGAUCCAGGCUGUCAGAUGAAGGUUUUCCACACCUCAGCAAUCAUCGCAGAGCAGCUGGGGACGGGGCUGGAGCUCACAGGCUGCAGACCUGUCUGGUAGCCAUGUAAAAUCCCCCGAGAGAUGAGUAUGAAGUUGAUUGCUUGGUCUGUUUUACAGCGCUAAGCUUUCAGUUGGAAAUACCCUUCUCAGCUUGAAACCAGAAGCUCUGACAAUGACAGAUCUAUUCCGAGGAGAUACCAUCGUUACAGGGUGGGGUAGCAAGCUCCAUUCCCAUCUGCUGAUAGAAUUAUCUCCACUGUGUGACCCUCCUCUUAUCCGUUGCUGACAGCAAUGUUUCUUGUGGCUGUUCCCCCCACCAGCUGCAGUGAGAGGUUAUUUUCAGCUGCCAGGAGCAAUGCUGUCUCUCUGAUUUUUUUUAUUUUUUUUAAUUUUUUUACUCUCAAGGCCAGAUCUUCCAGUUAGCAAUCAGCACUGCAGGUCCGUGGCAGAUUCCUACCCAGUCUCUGUACAACCCCUCUGUUGCAUGUUGAUGAUUGGAGUCAAUGGGGGAAGCUUAUUUUUUUUACCCCGUGCUCUCCACAGUGUGCAGUGUUGAAUUCUUACAGAAUUACAGAACAUUUUCAGGCAGAGGAAUCCCAUUCUGCCUUUAUUCAGACUGACAGCAGCUGUGUAAACCCUCUGGGGUUCGUUAAUUUUUUAUUUUUUUUUUCCAUUUCCUGCAGUACAGCAGAGUGUGAUUUGGAAGGAAGCCAUUUGGUCCACCAUGUACCUGUUUUAAUUGCACUUAAACCAGUACAUCUUUUGCUAGAAUGACCUUAAAUCAGCUUAUUAGCACUGACACAAGGGUUCUUGAAUUAUGCGCAUUUCAUACUUUCACCCAUUGCAGCAUACUACUUUUAUCUGUGGUUGAAACUCACCCUAAAUUAGGAGGCAGAACAAAGAGCUGCUCACUAUCUACACCUCCCUGAAAGCCUGAUGCAGAGGGCAGGGGAAUGUAAGACUUGCAAAGCCUUUGUAGUAACCUUGCCUGGCAAUUGAUUUUAUCUUUAAGGCUGUCGCUGUUUCUUUGCUGUAAAAUCCUUUUUCACUCUACUGGUUUUGGAGCUCAUAUGAAAAGCACACCUUUGGCACAGAUGUGCCACCAUCAUUUUUUAAUUUGUACUUUAAUGUUUGAAAAAACACAAAGAUGCCCUCUUCAGUUUAUUUCUGUGUGUAAUGCUGAUGGAUUCCUGCAAUCAUCCUUGUAAAACAGAGUCCUAGAGAGAUGGAAAAGGUUUCAUAUUGCUCACUGCAGAAUGCUGUUAACACACCUCAGCUAAAUUCUGCCUUUGUGUCUUUAAUGGUCAGCCUUCCAAAAUAUAAUUAGAAUAACCACGUUUGGAUUUUCAUUUUGAUACCAAAGGUAGCUCAGCUUUUCUCAGAAACUGAUGCUGCAAGUCAUGUGAAAUGAAGAUGAGGGGAGCAGCCAGGCAGCUAAAAGCACCAUGACUCAAACCAGGCCAUGCCCAGCAUGGCCUGCAGGGCUGUGGUGGACACUGGAUCUGAACGUUAUGAAAGAUGAGUACAGCUCAGUGCAGCUCAGGAAUCAUGAUGAAUUUCUGAGAGAGUUGCACACUUCAGAAUUCAAAGCUGUUUGAAUUCUGAACUGUCAACAUCCCAUCUCAGUAACAGUUGGCAAUAUCAUCUCUUGUGUCCAGUUUGGUUAAUGUUCUCCAGCGGUUUUUUGGAAUUUAAUUCCCACUUUUGUUAAAAGGAACAGGGGAGCUGGCAGCUGGCACAAAGCUGGCCUUUGUGCAAAGGAAUAACGGGAGAAGGGGGGUCAUGUCCAUGCCUAAAGGAACAUGGAGAAUGUCCAUGCAGGCAGCGGAGAGCUCUGCUUAUUGCAGCCCAGGACAUCAUGCAAGCGAGGACAGUGACAGCCUGGUGACAGCUGCAGUGCAGCACUGCGUGUAUUUGACAAGCUGAGUUUGACACUCAGUCUGGCAGAGUGUCAGUUUGUCAAAUACCCCAAGUGAGGCACUUGCUGAGCAACACGGCCGCACACCAAGGGGAUGGACUCCUUCACAUCCAUAUUCUGCUCCUCUCUAAAAACCCAACGAGGUAUGGAACAAACUGGGUGUCCCACUGAUUUCAUGCUGUCAGGUUUCCUUUCCACCCUGCACAGAGGUGCUUGUUGAAGUGGUAUUCCUAGUGGCAAACUGCUGGUACAGUUCCUGUGCACUGGGAGAACAGAACUGGGCUGUUUUUCAGAAAGACCCUGGAGUCCAUUACUUCUCCUUGCAGCUCUGUUGUUUGGCUUUGGCUGGGUCUUUCUAGCCAGCACUUGCAGCAAGGCUGCUUCUUGUUUUUGCCACAUUUCUAUCUUGUUAAAAUAAUUCCCUCUAAGUGAUCUCACUGGAAGAUCUAAUGGUCUCUUACCAUUUUUAAGGAUGGCCUUGUAGCAUAUCAGAGACACAGCUGGAGAUGGCUCUUGGUGAGUGAGGGGUGGAGCUGACAGAGUACAAGUGCCCAGCCCAAUUUGACAAACCACUUUGCUCAGAAGCUAAGAGGAAAGUCCCAGCACUCUGCUGACCUUUCUUUUAGAACGGCAGCACCAGCAAAUUUUGCAGAAUUUGAGAAUAUUGAUAAAUUUUAAUACUAAGCUGCUUUUUUUUUUUUUUUUCCCUAAAUAUUCUGAAGAAGUUGCAGUUUGUACAAAGUUGGGACCAAUUAAUAUUUAGUUUGGCCUAAGUAAACUAUGUUCUGACUUCUGAGUAAGUCCUAUCUGCAGGGCUCAUUGUGUGCUUCUGGACAAACACAGUCGUACCCGCUGUGACUCACACUCCCAUGGUCUCUUUCCAGCACCUACGCAUGACUCAGAGACAUCACUCUGAUCACUAUCACUGAGGUCAGCUUCAGAAGAGAACAAAGUCUAUUAUUUGAGGGUUUGUUUUGUCCUCUGUGGAUCCUUAACGUAGCAGGCAGAUAUAUCAGCCCCAACCCUUGUCUCACUCACAGACCUCCAGCUUGCGGUGGGCCUGAAGUGUUGUGCUGUGCAGCACAGCCAGUUCAUCUUAAGCUCUUUGCAGUUGCUUCCUUUAUGCAUUUAUACCUUUUCCUUUCAGAAAAGUUUGCCCCUCUGCCUUUUAGGGGAAGAAAGUUAAUCCAUUCUUAUUCUACAAGAGAUACCAAAGUAGAGGGGGACAAACUUUUCUACCAGAGACUUCUGUCUGCUCUCUCUCUGUUGAGAGCAGCAGGUUCAGGAGGGCUCUGAGGGUGGGCACACCUGGCAGUUCAGAAGCCAGUAGGUCUGCCUAGCUGUACAGAAGCAAGGGGAGCUUCAAGUCUCAUGACAUGGUGCUGGCUGCUAGAAACAGUGUACUUUUCUGGAGACCCUGUAGUUUCAGAGCGGAAGCUGAGGUUUCCCUUUCUGUGCUGGUGUGGAGCUGGGCUCUGUCAGAUGAGUCAUAUUACUGGGUGAAUGACCAGCACGCGGAAAGGAGAAGUUCUGUUUGAUAGAGAUGCAACACAUCGGAGCCCUCUAUGACUUUCAGAAGGAAGAUGUUCUGUUCCCAACAGCUUUUACACUAAGCAUGCAAAAAAUAUAAAUAAAAAAAAUAACCACAUGGUGCAUAGAGGGGACAACAAGCUGCGCAGUGGAGAAGGCGUGUGUUUCCACUGAGCUUUCCCUGGUGACCAAGGCCAUUUUGCUGCCUAUAUUGGAGGCAGUGCCAACAGCUGAGGUACUCAAGAUGUGCUCUAGCUGGGGCAUUUGCUAUCUCUUUCUUUGUUUCUGUUGCUUUCUUCCUCUGCAGCCUCUCCCAGAAUUCAGGGCUCCUGAGGAAACUGCCUGGAAUUCCUCAGAGAAGAUUGGUGCUGGGAGGAAUCAAAGUUUGGAGAAACCACAUUGUUAGUGUGUCAGUGAGGGAACUUGAAGUCGGGAGCUUAUAAUGGAAGUAAAUCUUGCAUAAAACAUUAGGCUAGCUGUAAAUGAAUGAGGUUGAGACUUGGAAUGGAAGAAAAGAGAGCCAUGUUCUACAUUUUGUCUGCUGUGAUGACAAUAGGGAAGCUGAGAAGCUUUCAGUUCCUUCACACACAGCACUGACCUCAUACCACAUGCUUCUGCUCCAUGUACAAAGGGCUGCAGCUCCCCAUUUUCCUCUUUUGUUUUGUCCUGCUUCAUCCAGGACUGCCAGCACCAACACUGCUGUUUCAGCCCUGUGCCUUCAAGGCCAGCUUCCAUGAGGUGCACUCUGUAGUGAGUGCAUGAGCUACAAAGAGCACACAGCCCUUUGAGGACAGAAGAGCCCCUCACCUGUAUUUCUAGCAGUCCCAAUACUUCACCAUCCUCAGCCAGGACACAGCCACCCUCCUCUCCAGCAGGCAGGAACAGGGAGCAGGCCAGGUUGGAGCACAGCACCAGCACGAGUGCAGAUCAGUGUUCAGCAUGGGGCUAAGUGCCACAUAGCCCCUGGGGACACAGUCCUGCUGAGUGCCACCUUUAGUUUGGGAAGCUCAGCAGCCUACUGCUGCAGCACAGCCAUCCUGCAGUGCCUGCAACUGUGGUUGAAAUAAUGAGAGGAGGCAGGUGUGGGAUGACUUGAUGCCUCCCAGCUGUCCUCUCUAAAAAGGAAACCCAAGUCAAACUUCCAAGUCACAGAGUCAUAGAUUCCUUAGAGUUGGAAGGGACCUUCAGUGGUCAUCUAGUCCAGCUCCCCAACAAUGAACAGGGACAUCCACAGCUCAAUCAGGUUGCCCAGGGCCUGAUCCAGCCUCACCUUGAAAGUCUCCAGGGCUAGGGCAUCCACCACAUCUCUGCAAUCUGUUCUGGUGCCUCACUGCCCUCACUGGAAAAGACUUUUUCCACAUAUCUAACCUAAAUUUUCCCUCUUAAGCUUGAAGCCACUUCCCCUUGUUCCAUCACGACAGACCCUGCUAAAGAGUCUGUCCCCUUCUUUCUUGUAGCCCACCUUUAGAUACUGACAGGCCGCUCUCAGGUCACCUCAGAGCCUUCUCUUCUCCAGACUGAACAGCCCCAGCUCUCAGAGGUGUUACGUCCCUGGGAUUGUUUUUUGUGGCCCUCCUUUGGAUGUUCUCCAGCAUGACUCCAUAUCUGCACAUAGUGCUCCAGGUGAGGCCUCACCUGCAAGGAGCAGAGGUGCAGGAUCAGCUCGCUCCCCCUGCUGGCCACACUGCUUUUGGUGCAGCUCAGAAUACGGUUGGCUUUCUGGGCUGCGAGGCAUACCGUUUGCUCCAGUCCAGCUUCCCAUCCACCAGUACCCUCAGGGCUUUUUCAGCAGGGCUGUGCUCAAUCCUUUCAUCCCCCAGUUUGUACUGGUAGUGAGGGUUGCCUCAACCCAGGUGCAAGACCUUGCAUUUGGAUUUGCUGAACCUCAUGAGGUUCACCUGGGCACACUGCUCAAGCUUGUCUAGGUCCCUCCGGAUGGCAUCUCGUCUGUCUGGCAUGUCAGCCACACCCCACAGCUUGGGGUGAUCAGCAAACUGCUAAGGGUGCACUCAAUCCCACUGUUGAUGUCACUGAGGAAGAUAUUAAAGAGUAUCAGUCCCAGCACUGACCCCUGGGGGACACCAUGCAUCACUCCAGACAUUGAGCCAUUGACAAACACUUUCUGUACUCAGUUCUGCAGCCAGUUCUUUGUCCGAUCAACAGCCCACCCAUCAAAUCCAUCUUUCCUUAGAGAGAAGGAUGUUGAGGGUUGCUGUGUUAGAGGCCAAAAGUUGAAUGCUGGCCAUGUCUGGUCUGUACCCCUAUCCGUUCUGCAGAAUUGAACCAGAAGACAGAGCAAGAGCACAGAUUUGCUUAACAACAGAAAAAUGAAGGCACUUGUGUGGUGAAACACCAAGAAAGACAGAAUAUACCACAGAUGCUUUUGAAGCAUUUUGUAUUUGCCCUGGGAAAUAAAUGACAUUGCAAUAAUCAAGCACUUUUCACAGCAUUUUACAAACAAAAGCUCACAGCACCCUCGUUAGAUAGACAAGCACAAACAUCACACUGGUAACCAGACAGAUUUAGUCACAUCCCAUACAGUGAGUCAGUCUCAGUGUGCUGGAUGCAGGGAGAUCCCUUACUCAGUCACUAUUCCAAAUGCCUCAGAUUUCUCUCUGCAAUGCUUCUUUUUUUAAUCAUGCUUCUGGCUUCCACACUGUAAAAUGAAGUGCUAGCAAUCCCUUCAAUGCCAGCUCUGCUUUGCCAGGAGAAAAACAGAGGGUGCCAGUUAAGAGGCUCAUCGCCUACAAGGUUAUUCCCACUUGUGAUAUUCCUGGGAUAUCAACCCCCCUGUGUAGUCCCUUUACUUUCCUCUAACAAGACAACUCAAGAACAAACAAGCUGUACAACCAGUAUUUGCUGGACUGUAAAAGCCAGAGGCCAUACAUUUCUAGUACAGUUCUCGGCUCCUCACAGUCUGGCAUGCCCUAACAGGGGAACAUGCACUUGAGAGUGCACCUUGCUGAUGUUAUUGGCUAGCAGUGUUGCACCCAGCUGCACCUUGACCUGGAGGCAAAAGACAUUUCUGUUUCCCCUCCUUCAGAUCCUUUCUUUCUCACUUUGCUCCUUCAGGCUGCUCAGAAAUUAUUUGCUACUUAAAAAUGUAUAGACAGACAACAGCUUGGCUGAAGGUUUCUGCACCAAUGGGCAGGGACUCAUUCACCAAAUCCUAAGAAGGUUAUGCAGUUCCUCUGAGUUACAGAAAGAAGUACAACUGGUAUAUUUAUCAGAGAAUAAGGCAGACAGGAAGAAUAGUUUCCCCUGGUAGAGUUUACCGCUCAAUAUCUGCAGCCCCAUCUUCUGCACAGCUGCUUGUGUGGAAAUGCUGGUACUCUACUGAAAGUUCUGAACUUUGUAUUCUGAUUCCAUUGCAUUCACAAGGGUCUCACUCUCGGCAUUUUUGUUCAGACAUAUGCUCUCAUAGCUGUUGUCUGUCGUGCUCUCAUAGUUGUUGCAUAUCAUGGUAAUGUUUUCAUAGGAUACCUCAGUCUCAGAAUUUAUCUUCUCUUUUCUGCACCUAACAGGGACUUCCACAUCAGUGUCCAGUGUAAUGACAUCUGCAGUGCUGUGACUGAAACAAAGCAACAUUCAUAAGAAUUAGGACUAAGUCCCCCUUAACAGCUGCUAUCUCACUCCACCUCCUCAGUAUAACAGGAGGAGUAUAUAAGAUGGACAAGUUCUUGAGUUGAGAUGGAGGCAUUUUAAUGACAAAAGCAAAGGCCGUGUGUGGAAGCAAUCAAAAAGAAGUAGGGAGAUUCAUUCCCUACUUCCCAUAAGCAGGCAAUGCCCAGCUACUGCCUGGGAAUCAGAGCCUCAGUACAUGUGAUGGUUGCUUCCAAAGGCAGUUGAGGUAACCAGAAACACCUCUCCCAACUCCUCCCACAUCCCUCAGCUUUAUUGCUGAGCUGGGCGUGAUAUGGUGUGGAAAACCUUGUGGUCAGGAUAGGUCAGCUGCCCUGGCUGCAUUCCCCCAAGCUAUUGCCCACCCUGACCUACUGGCCCCUGUGGGUUGGAAAGAGAACCUUGGUGCUGCGCAGGUGCUCAGCGAUAGCCAAAUCCCUGAGGGGUUACUGAUACUGUUUUAGGUACAAAUGUAAAGCAAUGUCAGGGCUGUUACAAGGAACGUUAACUCUAUCCCAGCCAGAUAAAAGAUAUCUUUGUCUUUUCACUGGGCAAAAAGGCUUUUCUGAAACAAAUAUCAGUAUGAUGCCCUUAAAAGUCUUCUCAACAUAGUAGGUGAAAAAUCAUACUUACAAAGCAACUUCAUAGAUGGAUUCUGAAAAGAAAAGGAAGAACUGAACAUAUGCAUCAGUACAUUUUAUGGCUAACGAGCCCCAGGAAUAAAAGUAAAAAGGAAAGAAAGCAAACAAAAGCAACAAAGAAACCACAACUGCUCCCAGGUAUUCCCACCUUCAGGAAUCACUCUCCACCCUGUUGCUCCCUGGGGAACACUGGCUGGGACUGGGGCAGGAAGGGAGCCAAGGCAGAGUGAUGGGACUGUGGGGAUAGGAAUGGGGCUGGGGAGAGCACAGUGCUGCCUUGCCCUACCUGCCAACCCCUGCUAGAAAGAUGCUAUUCUGAAUGCCUUUAACAGAGAUAAAAAAAAAAAAAAAAAAAAAAAAAAAAAGCGUUUGCAUGCUCUUAUGUGUUCAGGCAUUCAAUAAAUACAUUUUGUGUUUGUUAAGUAAAAAGAAAAUGCCCUUUUCAGUCUUUCACCACCUAUUUUGAUUCAUGUGUGCUUUGCUCAAGUGUCUUCACAAUUCAGCUACCAGAGCUGUCACAUGUAGCUGUGAGGACAGUACCAACCCCAGCCCACAAAGCCCUCAGAGCUAAACCAGGGCAGGCAUUCAAGCUCCCCACAACAGCCUACUCACCGUUUUUGGGCUUUCUAGUACAAGCAAUAGCAAAAAUGACAAGGAAAACCACAGCACCACCCAACACAGCAAUCAGGAUGAUCAGGUACAGGUGAGUCCUCUGGGAACCUAUAGCGAUAUGGCACAAGAUUUUCAAACAGAGAAGCCCUCCCAGGCUGCAGCAGCACUUAUAUGGUGCUGACCAUGUCCUGGAGGCCCAGCCAGCCCCUGAGCUCUGCAUGCAGUUGUGUGCCUCUUGUCCAUGUCCCUGCUACUCCCCCAUAACAGCAUCUUGCCCAUUUGGCCCCACACGGGUGUUUGUGUGAGCUGAAGCCUCUUGCUGAGUGCUGGGGCUGUAGCUGUGAGCUGGGCAGAAGUGUGCAAUGCAUGUCAUGGAAGAAAGGCUUUCAGGUGGUGCUCUCACCACUUUUCAUUCAAUUGUACCUGGAGCAUGUUCAAACCUACCAGGGCGCUGCAAACCUAGAUGAGGUACAGAGAGUCACCUUGAGUUACACACAGUCCUUUCUGUUGCUCCAGCCUUGAGACCAGAAUGAACUACUGAUCAGGAACUGCUGCAAGAAGCCUGGAUGUUCUGGUUAUGGAACUUAUUUCUUUUUUUCCUAAAAGCGUCUGGUUUAUUUUAAGAGUCCCAGUAGAACAUCUAGGUCCCUUGAGAACAGCUAGCAAUACCACUUAUAGCCAAAAUACAGAACAUGAACUUUGGAAUGGAAGAUACUGAGCGGUCAGUUCAGGUCCCCCAAUUUUGUUCCAAGUUACACUGAUGUCUCCACUUACUCUGAGUUGUUUCAUCUGUUUCUGGGUAUCCCACAGCAUUCUCAGAAGUCACUGCUGCCUCAGGCAGAUCUGCAAAACAAACAAGAAUGAAAAGUGUGCAGUGCAAUUCCAAUCUGCCUUUUCUAGGCCAUGAAAAUAGAUAAGCUCUGGAAAUAAGCAACCCCUUCCUGUAACUUCUAGUUGCCUUAGCUGAUUUGCAUGACCUGCUAUGGUGGGGCACGAUCAGUUCAGAAGAAAUGACCUCAACAUUAAAGUUUCUACAAGAGGAUCUACUCUAGCCCAGGUCUGAGUUCCCAAAACCCAGAAAGAGGAACUGGCAACUGCGAGUCCUUCCUCAGAGGAGAUAUCCUUAGCAAGGAAAGCAACUGCUUUACAGUGGCUUUUGUCUCAUUUGUAUCUGUUGUUUCUGUUCAUUCCUUUCUAAGGUCUAAGGGGAGUCUGAGGUGGCGUGCCUAAUUGUAGAUAUCAAUAUAAGCUUCCCCCUCCAAUGGGUUGGCUUUACAUGGGCAUCAUUGAGUUUGUGUUCCAAUGGAUGGCUGCCAAGAGACUGCUGUAAGGAACCAAAGUGUCGGUACUCAGUCUGCAUGGGCUCUUGGGAAGGAUUUCAGGCACUGCAUCAGGUUGUUGUCUUGGUGACUUUUGGACUGACUUAAGCAUCCUCCCAGGAGUGCUUUUAUUACUGCUAAGCACUGGGUCAGCUCCCAGCCCCUGGCCCCUCGCCCUGGCCACACAUUUCUCCCUGCUGACCUGUGGCUGGGCGGUGUGCAUCCGUUGUGACAGGCAGAUCUGCAAAUGGAACACGGCAGGAAGGCUCAGUGUGUGCCGGCAGGAUGCAGCACUCCCUCAGCCACUCCCGGCAGCCUGGCGUGCUUCUCCAUAGGCACUACAGUGUCAGCCUUGCUCUGCCAGCACGGUCUGCUGAGGUGUACUGAGGGCUGAGCCAGGCUCCCUCCUGCUCAGCCCUGUUGCCAGGGGCCGGGUGCCAUCUCCUGGGCCCUGCCUGACUUGCUGCACUCUGAAGCAGGCAGGAUGCGGUCCACAUUUGGCAUUAUGCACACAAACCCUGCACAGAAGGAAAUGUUUCCCCUUCUGUGGCUGCCUCAAUGAAGAUCCGAGGGCUGGGACUCACCUCUCACUGUGAGCUCAACAGCAUCACUGCGCUGCACUAUCCCCGUGUUGACCCUGUUCUGCACCUCGCAGUAGUACAUCCCCACAUUGGAGGGCUGCAGACUGUUCCACACCAGCUCAGCCUCACUGCCCAGGAGCUGCCCACUCCUGCCUGGUACUGCCCGGAACCAGCGGUAGGUGAUAGGGGGGGACCCUUGAGCCACGCAGGUCAGGCUGGCCUUGGCUCCCACCGGCACCGCCAGCCCCAGCUCUCCAGCCACGAUGACAGGCUUGGUUACGGCCACUGCAAGACAAAGCAGAUGGGUCCAGGUCACGGAGGCUAUGGUGGGGGAAGGUUUCCCUCACACUGAGGCAACUCCCAUCCUCACGAUCUUUUCCCAGGACAUCACCUCCCUGCUGGGUUGUGCUCUGCACAGCUGUGCUUAUGGCUAGAUCUGCACCAGCUGUGUCACCUAUUGCCACUGCUGCACCACAGCAGCCUGCUCUGCUGAGUUGUUGCCUUUCCCAAAUGCUGCCUUAAGGCCCCUCUGAGGAAAGAGCUUUUUUUUUUUUUUUUUUUUUUUUUUUUUGAACACACACUGAGGGUGCCUGGGAAGGGGAGAAAUCACAUCUGGCCAGCAUGACUCCCAUGUGCUACAAGAGCUAGGGACACUGGGUAACUGCAGAGAACCAGACCAGUCAUGGGUGCUAGCUCUGCCACCUGGAUCUGUGGCCCACUGUGAGAUCCAGGCUGGGUGCAGACUCACUGCUACCCCUUCCUGAAUCCACAGAACUGAGCACAAAGCUCUUCCCAUCCGGGUACCUCAACACCCAUCUUGCAUGUGGGUAGGCAGAAUGGGGUGAACUGCCUCUUCUCCAAAUUGCUCUACAGAUUAUACAACAGCAAGGCUGUAUGACUGGAUUUACCUUUAGCAACUUUAACCAUAGUGGUCACCUCCUUUGUUACCAAGCUGUAGUUUUCAGACCUCCAGAUGACUUGACAGGUGUAGUGUCCGCUGUCAGGAAUUUCAAGGUCUGUGAUAUGGAGUGAGGCAUCCCCCGGGCUGCUCUUUGGGACGCUGACUCGGUUUCGGAAUCGAGACAACAGGAUGUGGUCACCAGAACUAUCCCUCCGAAAGAUGGUGGAGGUGCUGAGGUCUCUCUCCAUGCUCCAGGUGAGUGUCUGCUGUGUAAAACCUUCUGAGGGCGUGUAGGUACAUGGUAAAGUGGUGGAUCCCAUCCAUACCCCUUUGACCUGAGCUGCACCAGACAGGUCCAGGAGGGCUGCAAGGAAACAACAAUUGAAGGGAAGAAACAAGAACGCAGAAGAAGAGGGGGACGUCCCUUAGGACCAACAAGAAGCCACUAGGCAGUGGAAGCCAGCGCAUGGUAGCAUCUUAGAUAUGCUGUAGACCACAGCCAACUAAAUCUGGGCCUGUCCCCAUCUCACUGAGCAUAGGGAAGUGAACAGUUACACCAAACUCAAGGCUAUUCUUAUUGCUUCUCUCUGGACACUGGCCAGUUCUCAAUUCCUUCUCAGUACUGAGAGGCACAAAUCCCCCUCCCAGUAACAACAUCACUGCUGCAGCCUUCACAAGAACUUCAGGAGCAUCUCUUAUUCCUGCUCCCUUGCCACAGCUUUCAUGCUGAACUUCUGCUGCUUGGCUUUCCACUUAUACUUGCAGGAUGACUCAAACAGCAGUGGCCUCUCCCUCCACUGCUGACACUGCUUGUUCUGACAGCACCACUUGCAGCAUUGUCCUGUACCCCCUGUAUGGGAGGAAGGGUGAACAAAUCACAUUUACUGUGUCACUGCAAUAAGCGUGCAUGUAAGACUCACUGUUUGCAGUUCUUAGCAUCAUUAACUUCUUAUGAAACUACCCCAGUGCUGACGGAGUCAGCAGUAGAGCUGUGCAGGGAAAAACCCUUCUCUGUGCAGCAGUGCUGUCUGAGCCACAGGAGCGUGCAGAGGGGGUCUGUGCAUCUCUGUCCACAGGGGCAGUUGAGGGGGCUGCUGGGGCUGAGCUCUGUGGAACUUAUUCCUGACAGCACCAGCAAAGCACUCAUCACUGAUACAGUAUUUUUAAAAGAAACAUUUCCUCCCCAUGAUGCUUAUUAAACUGAGAUACUUCCUGAGACUUCCAGAAGAACGAUGUCAGUUCUCACACUGGGGAGGUAGAGCUGAAUAGACAGAAACCUGCAGAUCUAUGUUUGAAAGCAGCAGAGUAGUGAGAGAUUUGUAUCAUCAGUAAUGCACAAAGAAGAGAGGAGAAAAAAAAAAAAAAAAAAAGAGUUCUUACUCUCUGGUCCAUUUGUAAAAGAGUUGAGUGCCUCCUUCCUAGCCUGUUUGCACCAGCAUUCCCAGUGGCAUGAAAGCACUAUGCAGGCAGGUAUCUGCCUUUACUGGUCUGAACUACUGGAUUUGGAACAGCAGAUCAAACCCAAUCUCUUGCAUUAGCCUUGGAGAACUUCAGCUCUGACUAGAUUCCUUGGUUGGUAUCUGUCUCAGCCAAACAAAUACGCUGCCAGGACUCAAACAGGCACAGGAGGAGGGGGUGCAGACUUUGUGAUACUUCAUUUAUUCUCCCACUCUUUCCAACUCCCUGUCCAGUGAGGCCAUCAAUGCUCUGGGAAACAUCUCACAUCAGCAGCACAUUACCUGAAUGUAGCUGGACUAGGCUCACCUCUAUCCAAGCCCCUUUUUCUCAUUCUGCCUUUCCCUCUUUCCCCAGAAAGGCAAAGGUUGUGUUCCACUGCAUUAAUCCGCAACAAAUGUGAGAUGUGGAACAUACUUCAAUGUGUUUGCAUCAGGAGCAGUUCCAUGCUUCUGUAAGCAGCUUGUCAAAGCACCUUUCUCCUGUUGCCCAAGACCUUCCUCUGCCAAUCUCAGCUGUCCCAGGAGCAGCACAUAUGCCUCAUGGGCAUAUGAAUUGAAGCCAAGGUUCCACUGUCACCUCUCCUAAUGUACCUAGAGAGCCAGGACAUCGGGAGUAACCAAGGGGAAUUGUUUGUGCCUGCAUAUACCCUCACAGUUACAGCUGUAUCUCUUCUUCCCAGGACCACACUAGCAGAGAAAUGGAGAUGCAUUAUUAAAUUGGAAUCAUAGAAUUGCUCAGGUUGGAAAAGACCUCCAAGAUCAUCCAGUCCAACCAUCCGCCUACCAAAUUCUAGAAGAACGUGCAUAUUCCAGCUUCACAAAGACAGUUUUGGAAGGCAACACACCACAUCAGAGCAUGUCCUCUGCAAGGAUCCUGAAAGGUCCUGCUUUGUUCAGCUGUGGCACAUGGAGCCAGCCUGCCUAACUCUGCCCCACCUGCUGCACUCUCAGAGGCAGCUGGGUGUCCCUAGUAGGAGUCUCCCCAAAGGAGACUUGUGAACUCUCAGGCUCUGUUUUUCAAGAAGAAAGUAAUGGCUCCCCACACCUCACAACUUUUAAAAAGCAGGACAUCAUAACUGAAAAGGAUUCUCCUGCCCUCUUAGUUCUGACUUUUCUUCUUGUACAAAGAAGCAGUUACUCACCCUUGCAGCCAACAAAAGCCGUCACCAUCACCGCCAGCAGCACCACUGCUCCCAUCCUCCCCAGACUGCGGCUCCGCUCUCCUCCUCCUGCACUUGAUGAGAGACCUCCACCCUUCUUGGACCAGAAGACAAGUCAAGAACACUUCCCUUUCUUCUGUCCUGUGUCAUCUGGGAUCCAGGCUGCACUGCUGUCCUUUUUCCUUCCUUCUUUUUGAAAUAUCACGAGUCCACUCACUGAGGUGAAGGAUGACCAAAGACUGCAAAGAUCUGUCUCUUUCCAUUUCAAAGCCCAUCCCCACCCUCUUCUGUUGUCUUAUUCUGACUAAUAUUCUAUUUCUUUUUUUUCCCCCUCAUGGUUUCGUAUAUUUCCUUUGUCCUUUCAAUUUUCUUCCAGUUAUUCCAUGUUUGCCUUCACUUCAUAACAAAAGAGCUUUAUGAUGGCCACAUAAUCAAGUACUCAGUAACAAGGGAGAGCAAAAUGGAGCAUGCUUGAAAAGCAAGAAUUCAGCUACCUCUGACUUGUGCGUGAUGAUAUGGCUCAGCAUCUCCUUCCAUCACACUCAAGGGCUCAAAACUGGGCAUCCAGAAAUGGCAAAGCACAGCAGCCUUCCCAUGGGAGGAGUGAGUGCACCGACUCACUGCACAUCAGGCAGGAGCACGAGGCACAGAUCAACCUGCUGGGGCUCCGUUUGCUUCCUUGGAGUCUUCUUUGCUGAUGGUACUGUGCUCUUCUACCACACACAUGCAGUACUUCAGCAGCACAUUACGUGCAGGUCAGUCUGUGGCCCCAGUGAGGAAAAGGAACAGCCAUAGUUCCUUUGCCUAACAGAGCCCUCCAGACCAGAAAAACUUUUACUGUUUUUUUUUUGUUUGUUUGUUUCAACAGAGAAGUUUAUUAAAAAAAAAAAAAGCAAUCAACAUCCUGUUCUUUGCUAUGAAAGGAAUUUCCCCACAAAAGCUGUGUUUUUCUCCACCUGCCCAGAAGCUGUGCCCUGUUGUGAUGCAGCUGCAGAUGUACUUCCCAGGGCAGCAAGAGAAGGUGCACGACAAAGGUCAGCAACCCAGAGACAUCCACACUUAAUGCUACAGCAGAUUCUACCUCCCAGAGGUGAGCAGGCAAUCACUGCCUGCUGCUCCCAUUUUCAGAGCAUCACAGAUUAUCUUGGCACACUUUUCUGCUGUGGUCAUCUGGCUCAUAGCAGAAGUCAUCACGUUUGUCACACCUUGCGCUCUGCAAACACAUACAGUGUUUUCUUGAGAGGUGAAUUGUGGCUGCUGGCAGUGGAACUUCAAUCCAGGAGGUGUUCUGGGCACACAUUGUGAGGGUGCCUUUAAAAGUAGAUCCAAAUGUAGGCGUUACACACAGAAUUAUUCUGCAUUCAGUGUAUUAUUAAUAUUAACAAAAGGAGGAGUUACAAAAGACAAGAAAUGUAUGUGAAAGCAAGCCUACCAAGUGAAUUAGGUUGCAGGCAGUCAAUUAUUCGUUAAAGCUACUGCUUGUUAUUUUUUUUGAUAGUCAUAUUUUUAACAUCCAGUUGGCAUUUAAUUUUAACAACUGCAUCAUUUAACACAACCCACUUAAGUACUUCCAAGAAAUAAUUUUGUUUCCCCUCCACUCCUCAUUAUUGUGUCAGUGGUGAAGAUUUGUCUGCAUUGACUUCUCAGCUGGAAAGAAGAGACUGAUGGAGGGAGAGAAACAGUAGAGCCCCCUGGAAGACUGCUGUCACCGAAAAGGCAAUCACAUCACUAUGGGAGGUCUAAAGGCUGCAAGAAAUACCAAAUGGCAUCUCCGAGCUGAAGGCAGAUGUGUCUGAAACAUGGGGGCCAUUUUCUCUUGGAGCUGGAAGGGCAAUUCAUCUCAUCUUGCCACAGCUGCAUCCCAUCACAGCAGGGAUCCAUCCUGGUUACACUGUAGCAGUCAGACCAUUCUCUGGAAGCAUUGCAGUUAGGUGGUGUUGGGCAGCUCUCCCUUCCUAUGCAGGGCAAUGAAAUCCAGUGACCAUCUUCAUUUGUCCAAAGUCAGUAACCUGAUGGACACAGUGCAGGUUUCGUUUCACUCUUUGGGCAGAGGCACAUCCACAGUUGGAUGACUUGAGGAAUGUGAUUUCAGCUGAGCUCUGAUUAUAGCUGCCAUGGAAUUUGCAGCAGUAAAAUUUGCAGUAAAACUACGUAAAGCAUGGCCAGCCUGGAGGAAAGAGCUGAAUGUAGAGUGGCUAAAAACCCAAGUUAAAAUUGCUGAUAUGACAAUUUUUUGAACCGGACAUGCAAGACUUCCUGAAGCCGUAAUUGUACAGGAUGGAAGUUGACUACUUAGCUAAACCAAACAUGAAGAAUCAUAGUUCCUCAAAUAUGACCAACACUGUAUCUUUCUCUCCUUGUGACAGAGAUGUAGCAGCCAAUGUUCUCCCUGAGUCAUCAUAUGUGUCCUCAUAUUUCAGUGCCUCUGCUUUGGAUUGAAUCUGCUGCUUUCUCCCUUUGCAGUGCCAGGCAAUAGGGCACCCUGCAGCUGUGCCCCUCACAGGAACCCACCCUCCUGCUGCACACUGGGCAUGAUGCUGCUCAGCAUCAUUUCCUCAGCUCAGAUAAAGUGACAAUGUUGCUCUUUCUUUGGGAAUUUCUGCUCCUACAUCUCCGGCUGGUAAGAAGUAGCGCAGCAAGAGUCCAUGUUUCACAAAGAGCAAUUGCAGAUGGGACCUCCAACCCCACCCAUAGGGCCCACACCUACAGAGCUUGGGUCUUACCCUCAGGUUUUAAAAUAGCCUGCCAAAGGCUAGAGUGUUGCAGUUUUCCUGAUGAUGCAAAUGCAUUUUUUAGCCUGCAAGGUAGUGGGAAGCAGCGCUGAACUUUGUGCAAACCACCAAAGGUAACUGGACAAGGUAGAAAGCCCUCAGCGUGCUUUUAUGAAGCAUCUGCACCCAGGCAAAAGAAAAAAAAAAAAAAGAAAAAACCUCAAAUUUUACUGCAAGAUGUUCUUAAUUUGGUCUGGCCAAAGCCAACUGCCCAAACAGAGCGGAAGUACUUCCUGCACAGCCCACAGAAGGUAACUACAUGGGACUUACAGCUGUGUGCAUCACAUCAGUUUUCCCACGCUUACCAGAGAACUGUACAGUCAAGAAAUCAUAGCCUUUGUUCUACUUGACAAAACAGAAUUUUAGUGUUAAAGAGCACUGCCUUCAAGGCUCAAGUCAUGCAACACAAGAGUAAUGUACAAAUGAUCUUCCUGAAAAUUAACUUCCCUUCCUAGAAAUUCCCAGGUCAUUGACAUCAGUUCUGGUUUACCCAUGAGCUCAGUCAAACUCUAAUAAAUGGUUCCUAGCACUAAGAGUGGAACCUGUAUACGUGAAGCCAUCUGAGCAUUCAUUUCCUGCUCUGUGCCACCUAAGGGUUCACAAAAGCAGGUAUCGAAUCAUCCCUAUACCCACAGGUUUCACACUCCUGGCUACCAAUGCUUUUGGUAGCCCCACUGCUAUCACAGGACUUGCUCCUUCCGUGUUCCUGCUUUAGUGACUCUUUGGAGGCUGUCUUAACUCCGAUUUCAGAAAACACAAAUGCUUCUGUGGGAUGAUCUGCCUUAACCUCAGCUUGUCUCCCUGCAGGCUCACUGCACGCCGUCAGCUGUGCUGCAUGAGAUGCACAGCAGCUGCUCUCUCCUCCAGAGGUAUCCCACACUGGGUUAGGAUCCAGUCUCUAUUUUGCAUUGCCAACUGCCUCAAAUCCUGGAGAAGGGUUUCACCGCACAGAGCAAAAUCCACUACUUUGCUUUGAAAACAAAGAUGAAAGAAGGGAAAGCAAAUUAACCCGUAAGAGCAAGGGUUAUGCUGCUUAAAAGAACUGCCUCAAACAAGUAGAGCACAGAUGGUCUUUCCUAGCUAGGUUAAGACCAGCAAUAGCGGAAGCACAGGCAGGGAGAGAAGAGUGGACAGUGUGGGCAGCAUUGUUGUUCUUGUGUUCAUACAGAAGUGCCACAUCUCACAGUUUGGUUGGCUCUACCCACUACUCCACCUGCAGGAAGGAUGAGCCCUUCUCCCUUCAUUCUCCAAGCAGCACAAGUCACACCCACCUCUCUGCUCAGAAGUUCACCAGGCCACCUGUCUUUGGAGUAUCUCUGCCUCCCAGUAGCUCCAUGUAAAGGUAUAAUGUGACAGAAAGCCCAACAAUAAUAGCAGGAUGGCAAAGUCCUAGGCUACAGCAAAUAAGGAUAAGCCCAAAGGUAGCAGCCAUAGAUGCAGAAACAAAGGAAAAAAAAAAAAGCUGCUUACCUUUAGAAGACCUCAGGUGAGCAGAGAUAUCCAUAAAGAUACCCUCAGCUCCACUGCGAGCUCUUAAAUGAGAGCUGGGAAGGGGUGGAUCCUGGCUCCAGCCCUUCCAUCACUCAGCUACACUGCAUUCACCUGAGCUCCCCUCUCCGAGGGCUGGCCCUGCCUUCCACUAGAUGCUCCAUCACUGCUUCAGGCCAUGACAGCAUUGCCACUACACUCCAUAUAGCACCACAGCUCCAGAGUCCCACAUUCUCACUGCAACAAGUUCUGGGAUGGACCUGAGACAGGUGGGCUGCUUUUCAGUAACAGGGAUGCUCCCUUCCCAGCUCCUGUCCACCAAACACAGACACACACACAGUUUAAAAUUACCUUUAAAACAAAACAAAACAAAACAAACACAAUGCUACUGCAAGGCUCCAAAAACUGCACGCUCACCUAGAGUUGCAGCAUUAAGAAAACAUAACCGUUUCCCAGAACAUUUCAAUGCUGUUGAUGUGUUGCUGCUUUAACACACUGUUGAGUCACGACUUUUCUGUUGCUCUCUGUAAGACCCUUUUGGUGGCAGUUGCCUGUCCUGCAGUAUUACUGCAGCAAUCUUUCUCUCCUACUCAGCUUCCACACUGGGUAUAGAAAGCUGAUACUGGCUUUUUACACUCUCCAUAAUAAAUUUCCUUUUCUUUCACAUGCUAAGUGUCUCAUUUCACCAAUUCUUAUUCUCAGAUUGGAUUAGCAACAAUUCUUGCAUCUUUGAUUCCCUAAAGUGGGGCUGAUGAACAUCAUUUAACAUAACAUCCAAAAUCUAUCCCAACUCAAAGAGAUUCACCAUAAUUCCUGUACUUAUAGGAGCACUGUAUGGUCCCCUGGGCACACACAGACAUUCACACACCAUCAUCUAGAUGGACAAAAUAAAGAUAACAAUAGAACAAAAUAAACAUAGCAAAACAAUGCAGUCCUGAAGUUUAAUGAUUUCCAUUUGCUUCUCCACAUUUGCAAUAAGCUGCAUGCAUUCGUUGGUCAUAUGCAGUCAUGUCAGCAGCAGAGCUGCUCACUGCUUUUAAGGUGAGAUCACACAGUCAUUGGAUCAUCAGGGCUGGAAAAGUCCCCUACGAUCACCAACUCCAAUCAUCGAUUGGCAAAGCUGUAAUUAGCAGGACAGCAUUAUCAGUCCUGAGUGAGGCCUGACCGCAUCAGCUGUGCAGUGGCAUAACAACACCUAAUGAAAUUUAAAGCUCUUCCUUCUGGAAGGUUCAGCAAACUGCUUGGGAAAUGUAUCAGCAUGCACAGAGGAGCACAAAAAGGACGUACAAGAGUCACAGUUUGAGUUUUGCAGUUCCACAGUUUAAUUAGUUCAGCGUGUAUUUUUUUCCUUGCUCAUCAGCCUCGUAUUGCAAUCCUUGGUAGGAAAGUAGCAAGUAUACCCAUUUCCUAGGCCAGAACACAAACCAGACACAGAUUCACGAAUCGUUCCUAAGCCCAUUUCUUAACUUCUUAAGAGACAAAGUGUGUUAAAACACUAUCCUGCAAUUCAGUCAAACACCCGAUGGUGAGACGCAGUGAGAGCAGACUCCAUCGUGGAAGAAUACAGCACUGCUCCAUUACAGGACUGCACUUCAAGUCUCACCUGCUCAGGAAAUGGAGGUCACAGAACUCUGACCUGCACUGUGCUGUCACAGCAGUGCUGAGGAAAAGGUUGGUCUUUAUUGUCUCACUCGUGGCAAAAAUCAAGGCUUUUGGGAAGAAAUCAUUAAAAAAAGUAGGGGGUCACAGACAUAAUGAACAGUUAUAAGCAGGGGAAUAAAAUGACACUGUGAAGGUGUUUGAGGUGUACACAUACUCAGUAGCGAGAUCCUCCUUCGCAACAGGGAAGAUCUGACAACGAAGCACAAAUCUACCUUAGCGAGGUCAGCAUAGAUAAUGUGCAUUAUCCAGCAGGCUUCAGCAUAUCAAAACAACUUGGAUUCUUGAACAUAAAAAGAACCCAAAUCUUAUUAGUUCGGAAACUUCAGAGAGAAUAAAGCCUGUAAGUGGACUGCCUUCCUUGAACUGAGAAAUGUUUCCUACCACUGCAGUUACUUGAUAGAAUCACGUAGUGUUGUACAGCUGGUCUUCCGCCUGCCCUCAGGGCUCUCCCAGCUCCAGCAGCUGUGUUUUAUGGCUGUGCAAAUUUCAGACUUCUGUGAGCUACGGAUAGGCCCUUCCCAACCUGUGCUGGUGAAGGAGCACUUCUCCUAUUGGUAAGGGGGGAUAAGGGCUGAUGUCUGUCACAGCUGUCCAGAGAAGCGAAGAAAAUGGUGCAGGAGAGAAUUUUGGGGAAAAUUUUCUGAUUAAGCUGAUAGUAGCUUUUGUAAUUCACUGUCAAUCCAUUCAGUUGAUUAAGCUUUAAGAAAAUCCAGGAAAAAGUCCAGUGUCUGCAGAGGGUCAGAUAAACAAGCAUCUAUUGCAAGCAGAAGAGAGAUCUUACUGUAAUGUCCCAUCACUGCAAAUUACCCCUGACUUUUUUGUGUUCACGUUUUAAGGACAGCUGCUGGCCUUUGCUGGACAUCUCCUGACUCAGUGCUACUCACAGCUGCUGAGGACAGGUGACCUGUGUGCUGGGUGCAGGGCACUCCAGAAAAGCCACCAUGCAAUGUGCACGAGAUCAGCACUACGCACGGUGGCAAAGCACUUCUAC